GAACUAUGAAAAAUUUCAAGGAAAGCUUCUAACUUUACUCUUAAGCGAUUAAUACCGUUUAUAGUUCU
rnacentral:tRNA from 1 species